CAUGGUGUAGUGUAGUGGUUUCAGUGUUGGACUGUAACUCUGGAGACCACAGUUCGAUUCCUUGCUCAGUGA